UACGUAGGUGGCAAGCGUUGUCCGGAUUUAUUGGGUUUAAAGGGUGCGUGAGCGGUCCAUUAAGUCAGCAGUGAAAUACGGCAGCUUAACUGUCGAGGUGCUGUUGAUACUGGUGGACUUGAGUACUGAUGAGGUAGGCGGAAUGGACGGUGUAGCGGUGAAAUGCUUAGAGAUCGUCCAGAACACCGAUAGCGAAGGCAGCUUACUAAAGAGUAACUGACGCUGAGGCACGAAAGUGUGGGGAUCAAACAGG
rnacentral:rRNA from 1 species